UACGUAGGGUGCGAGCGUUGUCCGGAAUUAUUGGGCGUAAAGGGCUCGUAGGCGGUUUGUCGCGUCGGGAGUGAAAACACCGUGCUUAACACGGUGCUGGCUUUCGAUACGGGCAGACUAGAGGCAUGCAGGGGAGAACGGAAUUCCUGGUGUAGCGGUGAAAUGCGCAGAUAUCAGGAGGAACACCGGUGGCGAAGGCGGUUCUCUGGGCAUGUCCUGACGCUGAGGAGCGAAAGUGUGGGGAGCGAACAGG
rnacentral:rRNA from 1 species